rfam:Beta vulgaris subsp. vulgaris contig103957.1, whole genome shotgun sequence.
AAAACGGCUCUUUUCAGAGCCAACAAUAAACAAAUCCCCCCCCCC